GAUGAAGAACGUAGCGAAAUGCGAUAAGUAAUGUGAAUUGCAGAAUUCAGUGAAUCAUCGAAUCUUUGAACGCACAUUGCGCCCGCCAGCAUUCUGGCGGGCAUGCCUGUUCGAGCGUCAUUUCAACCCUCGAGCCCCCCCGGGGGCCUCGGUGUUGGGGGACGGCACACCAGCCGCCCCCGAAAUGCAGUGGCGACCCCGCCGCAGCCUCCCCUGCGUAGUAGCACACACCUCGCACCGGAGCGCGGAGGCGGUCACGCCGUAAAACGCCCAACUUUCUUAGAGUUGACCUCGGAUCAGGUAGGAAUACCCGCUGAACUUAAGCAUAUCAAUAGCGGAGG
rnacentral:misc_RNA from 1 species